rnacentral:rRNA from 1 species
UACGUAGGCAGCGAGCGUUGUUCGGAGUUACUGGGCGUAAAGGGUGUGUAGGCGGUUGUUUAAGUUUGGUGUGAAAUCUCCCGGCUCAACCGGGAGGGUGCGCCGAAUACUGAGGGACUAGAGUAUGGGAUGGGAAAGUGGAAUUCCUGGUGUAGCGGUGAAAUGCGUAGAUAUCAGGAGGAACACCUGUGGUGUAGACGGCUUUCUGGACCAUAACUGACGCUGAGACACGAAAGCGUGGGUAGCAAACAGG